rnacentral:rRNA from 1 species
AUUGAACGCUGGCGGAAUGCUUUACACAUGCAAGUCGAACGGCAGCACGGACUUCGGUCUGGUGGCGAGUGGCGAACGGGUGAGUAAUACAUCGGAACGUGCCCAGUCGUGGGGGAUAACGUAGCGAAAGCUACGCUAAUACCGCAUACGAUCUAAGGAUGAAAGCGGGGGGUCGCAAGACCUCGCGCGAUUGGAGCGGCCGAUGGCAGAUUAGGUAGUUGGUAGGGUAAAGGCCUACCAAGCCGACGAUCUGUAGCUGGUCUGAGAGGACGACCAGCCACACUGGGAAUGAGACACGGCCCAGACUCCUACGGGGGGCAGCAGGGGGGAAGUUGGGACAAUGGACGCAAGUCUGAUCCAGCCAUUCCGCGUGCAGGAUGAAGGCCCUCGGGUUGUAAACUGCUUUUGUACAGAACGAAAAGGCUCUGGUUAAUACCUGGAGCUCAUGACGGUACUGUAAGAAUAAGCACCGGCUAACUACGUGCCAGCCGCCGCCGUAA